GUGAAUCAUCGAAUUUUUGAACGCAAAUUGCACUCUCUUCGGAGAGUAUGCCUGUUUGAGGGUCAGCCUAAAAAAAAUCGACAUAGUUGCUGUUUCGCGGUGACAUUGGUCGGAAAUUGGGUCAUCUUAAACCUUUUGGUUUUAAGCGGCUUAAAUUUUUCUUUACUAUUCCACGAACGUUUCUAAGAUUUUACUUCUUACACGUUUAAUGUAUUGAUCUUUAUUAGACGUGGCCGUUGCAUCGGAUCACGUCUAUAAAUAUUUCGUUAACUGACAUCAUACAGGUAAGAACAACCGCUGA
rnacentral:misc_RNA from 1 species